rnacentral:rRNA from 1 species
UACGGAGGGGGCUAGCGUUGUUCGGAAUUACUGGGCGUAAAACGCACGUAGGCGGCUUUGCAAGUCAGAGGUGAAAGCCCGGGGCUCAACCCCGGAAUUGCCUUUGAGACUGCAUCGCUAGAAUUGUGGAGAGGUAAGUGGAAUUCCGAGUGUAGAGGUGAAAUUCGUAGAUAUUCGGAAGAACACCAGUGGCGAAGGCGACUUACUGGACACAUAUUGACGCUGAGGUGCGAAAGCGUGGGGAGCAAACAGG